rnacentral:rRNA from 1 species
AUUGAACGCUGGCGGAAUGCUUUACACAUGCAAGUCGAACGGCAGCACGGGAGCUUGCUCCUGGUGGCGAGUGGCGAACGGGUGAGUAACGCGUCGGAACGUACCGAGUAAUGGGGGAUAACGCAGCGAAAGCUGUGCUAAUACCGCAUACGCCCUGAGGGGGAAAGUGGGGGAUCGCAAGACCUCACGUUAUUCGAGCGGCCGACGUCUGGUUAGCUUGUUGGUGAGGUAAUGGCUCACCAAGGCGACGAUCAGUAGCGGGUCUGAGAGGAUGAUCCGUUACACUGGAACUGAGACACGGUCCAGACUCCUACGGGAGGCAGCAGUGGGGAAUUUUGGACAAUGGGGGAAACCCUGAUCCAGCCAUUCCGCGUGAGUGAAGAAGGCCUCGGUUGUAAGUACGU